CAAUUCUGCAGCUCAGGCUGGACUGGGUAAAGGGUGUACCAAGUUCACACUGGCAGAGGGGAGCUUCCAGGCAGACGUUGGUUGCUCUGCCGUCCUGUGAAGCCUCCCACCACCCCACCCGCCUAGUCUUGCACGUAAAACUCAGAUGCAUCGUCUGCACAGCAAGGCCAUGGCUGGCCCUGGAGGCUGACCUCCCUGCUCCAUUCCAAGCCAGCGGCAUGCACACUGGGUGACUGUGACAUGUUUUGAUGGUCACAGACACACAUAGAGCAGGUAUUCCUUAGUCCACCAACAAAAAUGUACAAGAGACAGCUCUCUCUGUUUUCCAGAUCUCUCCCUAAUGUUGAUUUCACCAGGAUCGAGCCAUUCUCAGUUAACGCCUCCAUUCCCGCCUGGAGUCUAAGUUCAGGAGAUGUGAAUAAAGUUUCUGCUCCAGAGCAAGGGUCCAUCCAGACCUUGGUCCACAAGAGCAUCUGUCUUUCUGCACAAGUCACUCAGGACAUCCCGGAAGCAUGUCUGUAGGGCUUUUUCCUUUGCUUCUGAGCUCUGAGGACUUCUUGCUGAUUUUGCACCCGACUGGGGAUCUUGACACCUCUGUUAGGGGCCCACAGCUCUGUCUCUGUCCAGAAAAGCAAUCCUCUGGCUCAUCUCCACAUCCCAGACCCAGCUGAUGCCUCACAGCUGCCAUUAGGCCUCCCUUUGUGACUGUUUGUCCUCUUUGUCCUUCAAGAUUAUGGUGCACAUCUAGCACUAGUUAUGCAGGAUUGUCUUGUUCAGCUUUUCAAGGGUCCUUGCAGGAUCUUAGGGAUGAGCUCCAUCGCCUUAACCUUCAGAUCAGCACUUAGCCCUCUUAAAGUAAGAGUCCACAUGCUCACGCAGAGAGGUGAACCACACAGGUGCAGGUAACGGGCAAAGAAUCAAGGUGAGUGGUAAGGUUGUCAAGAUUAUACGCAAACAAAUACAAACAUGCCACACAUAUAUUUUAUUUUCCCUUUUUCAUUAAAGCCUGAACCAAUGUCCCUGUAAUGAUCUUUUGUUUAUUUCUCCUAGCACACAGCUGGAUGAUUCAUUUGAUGGAUGGUACCUCUGCUGUAUGCUGGCCCAAUUCUAAGUACAAUGAAGGCACAAAAAAGGAAAUUAAAAUAAACAAAAAUUCCUACCAAAAUAUUUCUUCUCAAGAUGUUGAUUGGGAAACAACAUCCAUGAAAAUGAUUAACGGAUAAGCCCGAAUAAUGGAUUCUCUCCAUCAUCUCUGUUAGUAACUCAGUAACCCUAGCUCAGUUCAGUCAAGGUUUGUUGUGUUUUGACAAAUCGCAGCUGCACAAGGCCCUGGUGAGACAGAGAAGAACAAGACUCUGAGGCUCCCUUUGAGCAGAGUGCUUGGCAUUCCUUAGCAGGUGGGAUCUUAUAUACACCUAGAUAUGAACAGAGUUAUACAAGAAGUUAACAUUGUGUGGAACGGAAGAUUCACUUUUGAAAGAAAGACUUGCAGAGAGACCUUGUUUGGAAAGGAAAAAGCAGAAGGUGUGGCAGUUUCUGCUGACUUGGAUGUGAGAUGCAACCUCUCCAGCCAGAAAGCUCAACAAAAAGCCAAAUUGCAUGCAGUUCUUGGGCUGUUAAUAGGGAGCAAGGUUAUGCAGUUGGCUGUACACAGACUCACUGUUGGAUGGCGAGUCUUGGAUGGGAUAGACAUACAUAUAACUCUCUAAACCCAGACCCUUUGGGAAGAAAAAGGAGGCAUGCAAAUGCUUGUGCUGAGGCAAAGGAGUUGUAAACCCUCAAGUAUGGCUACUCUGUUUUGCAGAACUGACUGUCAAAGCCAAUGGAGAGGAUGUCUAACCUAAAACCCAAGAUGCCUCUGAAUCUGCUCCUGAAUGGGUUAUUAAGCCUGAGCCUCCACAGAAGUUGGAUUUUAAAAAGACGGUGAAACAGACUCCAAGGGGACAGUAUCCAUUGGGUAUGUUCUUCACAUAAGGCCUUAUGCUUGUGCAUGAUGUUGAGGUUGAAUGUGUAUUUAAGUGACUUUUCCUGCAGGCUGUUUUAUAAUGUUACAUGCUAUUCUUUUGUAAAGUAAUACCUACAUACUUAUUAUGGAC
rnacentral:lncRNA from 1 species